rnacentral:rRNA from 1 species
AUUGAACGCUGGCGGCAGGCUUAACACAUGCAAGUCGAACGGUAACAGGAAGAAAGCUUGCUUUCUUUGCUGACGAGUGGCGGACGGGUGAGUAAUGCUUGGGAAUCUGCCUUAUGGAGGGGGAUAACUACGGGAAACUGUAGCUAAUACCGCGUAAUAUCUUCGGAUUAAAGUAUGGGACUUUCGAGCCAUAUGCCAUAAGAUGAGCCCAAGUGAGAUUAGGUAGUUGGUGAGGUAAAGGCUCACCAAGCUGACGAUCUCUAGCUGGUUUGAGAGGAUGACCAGCCACACUGGAACUGAGACACGGUCCAGACUCCUACGGGAGGCAGCAGUGGGGAAUAUUGCACAAUGGGCGCAAGCCUGAUGCAGCCAUGCCGCGUGAAUGAAGAAGGCUUUCGGGUUGUAAAGUUCUUUCAGCGAUGAGGAAGGUGCUAUAUCUAAUAGGUGUAGCAAUUGACGUUAGUCGCAGAAGAAGCACCGGCUAACUCCGUGCCAGCAGCCGCGGUAAUACGGAGGGUGCGAGCGUUAAUCGGAAUAACUGGGCGUAAAGGGCACGCAGGCGGUUGUCUAAGUCAGAUGUGAAAGCCCCGAGCUUAACUUGGGAAUUGCAUUUGAGACUGGGCGACUAGAGUCCUCUAGGGAGGGGUAGAAUUCCACGUGUAGCGGUGAAAUGCGUAGAGAUGUGGAGGAAUACCGAAGGCGAAGGCAGCCCCUUGGAGAGAGACUGACGCUGAGGUGCGAAAGCGUGGGUAGCAAACAGG